rnacentral:rRNA from 1 species
GAUCCUGGCUCAGGACGAACGCUGGCGGCGCGCCUAACACAUGCAAGUCGAACGGAGUAUCUCGGGAGUUUACUUUUGGGAUGCUUAGUGGCGGACGGGUGAGUAACACGUGAGCAACCUGCCCUUCAGAGGGGGAUAACGAUUGGAAACGUAUCGCUAAUACCGCAUAACGUUGCGGGGUCACAUGGCCCUGCAACCAAAGGAGAAAUCCGCUGAAGGAUGGGCUCGCGUCCGAUUAGCCAGUUGGCGGGGUAACGG